UGCCCCGCGGGGUCCCGGCCGGGGCUGCAGCCCCCCCGCUCCGGCUUCCUCCGAACCUGCCAACUCCAGCCCCACGGAAACUCCUGGAAAUCAUCCAUGCCUACCUACGGAUAUACACACAUACUCCGUAUAUGCUGUAUACUUCCGUGUAUCUUAAUAUUUUAAUGUGGUUGAAUGAUUUAUGGAUUUUGUAUGAUGUAUCUUUAUAUUUUAGCUAUUUUUAUUGUUUGUAUAUGUGAAACUAAACGCCUCUGUUUAGGUGCUGGGUAGUACAAGUCACAAGUUGCCUCUUUCUGAGUGAACUACGUGUGGGUAGGAUUAAAUAUAUCAAAUGCUUUAAAUGGACCAAAGCCAGCUCCUACGGGAGGGUGGCUGCAGGAAAUGCCACAAAGUUCCCUGUUAUCUGCUGCCUUAUCUCUUUCUGCCUACCUGGUAGCUGUUGCAGGAAUUUUAACCUUUCAGGGGGACUCUUCACCCAGGGCAAGUGUGCCUGUUGAGAUCAAUCUUGUAGAAUGCAGGCUGUCAAACUGUGUAAGGCAUGCUGACAUUGAACUUGUGGAAUGUCUUGAACUGAUUUUGGCCAAACUGCAUUUUAAUUUUUUUAAAAUUUGAAAUCAGUUAUGUUUUCUCACAAACGGAAGACCAGAGUCUGCAUUGGAAACUGCUAACAGAAGGGUACAGAGUGAGGAGAACAAAACGUGGGGAAUAAGAGAAGUGUUGAAGUGUUAGAGACAAUACAGAAACUGAAAAAUACCCCAGACACUUCUACUUCAUUUUCUAAGAACAGCCUGAAAAGAGAACCUCAGGAAAGAAGCAGGGUACUACUGUUUUUUAUUUAAUGUCUCUCUCUCUGCCAGUAACAGAAAAGCAGCUGUGGUGAUUUUGCCCAGUGGAGAGAUAUUAGAGCUGGAAUGCAAGUGUGACAGCAGUUUUCAACAGCAGCAAUCUGUCUCUGCCCAGGUCCCUGAGUGCAGCAGGGGAGACAUGGCCAAAACAGUAUCUGCUGUAAUGUCGGGUCUGCGGUGUUAGGUAUAGAAGAAAGCAGGCCACUAGCAGUACGUUUGGCUUUUAUCACUGAAAAGAUCCAACAGAAAUGUGCUAAGGGAUUAAAAUAGCCAGGCCAGAUGAGCUCAAAGCCUGGUAUUUGCUUUUGGAGAACCAUCAGAGGCAGAUACAUGAGGGAGGGAACUCCUGCCUACUUCUUUUUCCACUUGCGAUAGCACAUGGAUGUACAUGUCUCAGGGAUUUCCUUCCGCUGCCAGGCGACUCAUAGGCUGUUCCCUGCAGACAGUCAAACUUUUCCUUUACCUAACCCCAGUGAAAAUACUAUUCUUAAAAUGAUGAAAACUUGGUAGAAGGCUGUGUUUUCUUAAUAAUAUCUUUUCAGCAAGCAUUCUGUAAUUUAGUCUUGUCUAUAGCUGUGUAAUUCUUAAUUUUGUAAAUUUAUUUUUUGAGUUGUCAUAUUCUCAUUGUGUCAUGAAAGUCUCUAUUCCUUAGAAAAUUUCAGAGAACAUUUUUAUGCUGAUCACUGUUAUACAGUCCUGCUGAUGUGUGUAGUUGCAUCUGCAGAGUGAAAUAAAAGAAAGGUUCAACUGAUCCUCAAUCUAAAAGAUUCUAAAAGUAUCUAAGCCUUCAGUUACUGUUUUCUCAUUUUGGGGUUUUGUUUACUUUUUUAUAUGAAUGUCCAUGUGACUUUUCAGAAUUACAAAGUAUACUUACAUGCUCCAGUGAAAGGUGCUAAUUAAUGGCUUAGAAACUCCAUUUGAUAAUCUAGGACAAAGCAUAGCAUUCAAAGGAAAAAGGAACUGGAAUUUGCACAAUAGCAUUAGAAUACUUCUAUUAGUUUGGACAGUUUCUUAUGGAAAAUCACUUAUUUAAUAGGUACUGUACACAGAACAAAUACUUUUGCACUGAUCUAUCAAUAAUAACGUUUAAUUUUUGGGAGGGCUUAAAGGAGGUCUGCACUGUAUUACUAAUUAGUCUGUACUGUACUGCACUGAAUUACAGUGACUCAUCAGUUGUCACGUUGUUCAAAAUUCAGUAAGCCCCAAACAAGCAGCACUCGCUCAUGAGUUACCUACAGAUCAGGAGAUCUGCCUGGUACUUAAAAUGUAGGAGUAUUAGUACUGAGACUCUAACUCAUAGUCUUUGGAUGCCAAGGAAUUUCUUUUCUGCAUGUCAUCUUUGUAAUACUGCAGAUUGCUCUUCCUGCAUCCUUUUAUUUCUAUUGCACUUCAUUUUGCUGUACAAUUUUUUUCUUUUUCUUUUCAUUUAUACUGUGAACAAGAUGGCUGCAUCCUUUCUAAGGUGGGAUUUCAGAAAUUCUUAGUGUUUAACCAACUUUUUCUUCUGUCUGUGACAUGAGCACAUUUCUGUAGGAACAGAGGGACCAUUUCUGAACAUUGUAAAAAAUCUAUCCGACUGUCAUGCAUGAAAAUUAUUCCUGUCUAUUUAUAGCCAAUCCAGGAUGACCCCAUGUGUGGUUUCUGUUAGGAUCAAUGUGCAACUCACUGACCCAUUCUGGAAAAGAUUCUCUUUCUUCUAGAGCUGCUCUGCCUGGGAGCAAACUUGUGCCACUUUUGCUCUUGGUAGCCUGGGAGGUUUGCAAGGAGGAGCCUGUUUUCAGGAGAGGUGGGUGACACCAACCUGGAAAUGCUCUUGCCACCGAAGAGUUCAACAAACUGCAGAGCUGUCAUGGUCAAAGCUUGUCUUGCCUCUUCUGUCAGAUAUCAGGCGUGUCUACAAGGAGCCCUACCAUGUGGAUUUUGCCAGGGCAAAAUCCAGUGCCAUUGGCAGCAGCAGGAGACCUUGCUUGCCAAGUGUUGUGAGUCAACAUAAAUGUCAUUCCUAGAUGGAAAAAUAAAGUCAUUCAAUGAAGUAGAAUUACCAGGGUUGCAGUAAGUUUCACUCUGAUCUGUGAGUUUGGUUUGAUCGUCUUUUUCUUUCUAAUAAUCUCCACUAUUUUACAGUAGUAAGAAAACCAGUAAUUUGGGGAUUAUGACUUAAAAUAGUACUGUUGGUAGUAAGAGAAGAAAUACAACUGAAAAUGUGGUGUUCUUCUAUGUAAGUGUUAGAUUGUGUGUGGAAGAAAGUGCCAACUGUCAGAAGUAGGAUCAUGACAAUCACUUAAAAAUCACGCAAAUGACUUCCAAAUAUUUUGAAUGAGGAGGAAAUCUGGUGUCUGGUUCCCCUGACAUAUUUUUGGUAGAAUUCCUCAAAGCUUGUAAUGAGGGAACUUGAAUUCCUACAGAUCCUGUAAAGAGUGUCAAAGAUCUUUGUAAUGUUAAACCAAGCUGCCCUGUGCUGUAUUGGGAGCAAACAGGUUGAACAGGUGAGUAAUGCCCUGCGUUCAUGUUUCUCAUAAGCAAACAUUGCUUUGACAAGCUGCAUGUCACCAGAGAGCCUGGUGCACUUGACUAGCGACCCAUCACUUUUGUGGCUUGGCAAGUUCUUUGCUUCUCUGUUGGUUGUUUGCCAGGUAACUGCAAAGUUGUUUGGGGAUUUUUUGGUGAAAAGCUCUGGGGAUUGCGCAUUUUUCUUUCCUAAAGGAAGACUUGCAUCAUUUUUAAACAAGACUAAGAUGUGUAGUAAGAUUUGAUUUUUUUUUUUUUCUUGAGUGCAUCAUAUGCAAAUACCAUGGAUUUCCUUGCCUUAAGCUAAAUCAGAUGUUUAGAGUAAAAAUUUGUACUUACCUUUAAAUUGUGUUCUGGUUUUCAUCUUUAUCUGCUCAAUUUCAAGAAGAUAAAUACUGCUAUGGUCUUCUCUAGUCAACUUACAGCAGACAACUUCCAGCCAUACAGUCCCUAGGUGAAAGAGGUCCUAAAUAUAAGGGUUAUUGGGGAAUAUCUGAAUGCUACAAAACAAGUCUAAUGCUAAAUGUUCUUCAAGUCAAAAUGAUUGCUGGCAUUUUAAUGCUGGAAUGAGAAUAUUGUGGCACCUGGCAGUGAAACUAGAUUUGUACUAGGAACAAUUUCCAGCCAUGGCUGUGCUGAUAAAUGAUAUUAGGAAGCAAUUUGAUGAACUUUUCUCACAGAAGGAAGGUAGCUAUUGCUGUCUCUGUCACAGCAUAGUGUGCCUGAUGGGGUGAGUGGUGCCCCCUUUUAGGGCUGCAUGAGACACUGGAGCAGAGAGCUGGACAAAUUAGAAAUACUAAUUGGGUCUUUCACAAGCAGCAUGCUGUUGUCUGGCUUGUUUUGUGAGCAUCACCCACAAUGACAGCACACGGUUUUGACAGGGAUCCCAUUUUGUCAGCAUUGUGUUUUGAAUUAUUGUAGGGCUGUACUUUUAGAGAAAUCUCUGUCUGUUUUUAAAAAUUAAUUGACUGUAAGUUCCACUUGUGUUUAAGGAACUUCUCAGUUCCCAUUGAGCUUGCUUUCUAAGCAUGAAAGAUGAAAAUUCAAAGAAGUUAUAUAAUGAAGAAGAGUAAGGUAUUUCAGAGCUGAAAAGAGAACACAUUGAGGAGCCUGAGUGUAUGGGAGGUACUGAAUAGUGUAAGUAUUUAUCUUUAGUGUUUGAUAUUUUGACAUGUGUUUACAUUUAAUGUACCAUUAACCUGGAACAUUAGAUGUAGAUUGUGUUUUACAAAGCAUUCAAAAGUGGGGUUUUCCCUCCAAGGAACUUGCUCAAUGUCAAAGGAAACUGAAGGGUGUCAAUGAUUAUAAUCCCACUCAUGAAUGCAUACCAAGUCUAGCUCACCUCAGUAAAGAGGAUCUAUUUCACUCUUAAAUAAAAGCUCAUCUGUCGUUCCAUGAGACAUCUGUAAACCCAGCUAUGUUUACCCUUGUCCAUGCCCAAUGUUUUUGUGCCCAUAAUCUCAUUAUCAGACUGUUGUCUUGCUUGGUUUGACAUUUAGCCCUGCGUUCUCUUGCAUUCUCUUUCUGCUUUUCCUGGUGAUUGCCUUUCUGUAACUUUGUAAAUUACCUAUACAAAAGCCAAGUCAUGUAACAAAGUUUUUAUGCUUUUUCCUGGAAAGCAGCAGUUUCUUUCUGUAGAGAGAACAGAAGGUGGGUGGUAUCAGUGGUAAAAGUAUUGGUGUGGAGUAUAACUCCACUGUUGGAAUGAGAUGCAAGGCUUCAGUACGUUCAUUUUGGGAAGUAACUUUUCAAUGGCACUUUAUGUGUGCUGGAAGUUGCUUUUAGCAGAUGCAAACUGGAAAACCAAGAUGCAGAAUAAGUGUUGUGUGCUUUCAAUAAAGGUUUUCUAGCUCAAGGAUCCUGUAGUGACACAGUGAAGCUGCUGUGGAGUUUGCCACUUCAGUCAUACCAUUUUGUUGAGAAAACUGAGUAUCACUACUCAGAAAGUGCCUUUCACACUGUGGGAUUUGAGUCUUUCUUCCUUUCUGGGUGAGCUCUAGCAAACUUCUUUAUUAUUCUAAACCAAAUUUGUGAAAGGGAACAUACUUACCAUAGCAGGAGCCCUUUUGAAUUGCAUGCUAGCACACUAUAAUAGGAUUAAUAGGCUGUGCUGGAUCUGUAAUAUUCAUUCUUCUCACACUGCUGUUCUUGCAGCAAAAGUGUCCUGGGGGCCAGGUUAGCUAUAAAGACUUUGGUCCAUCACCAGAGGAUCUGAGUGGUCUUGGUCCAACAAAUUUUUUCCUUCAGAUGGUCAGUUAAUGGUCUGAUGCUUUUUUGUUUAGAUUGCUCAACCAGGAUGUGGGAGAUGUUGAAUCAUAUCCCUUCCUUAUUUAAACGGAUUAUGAACCCAGAUUUACUCCUUUACAGGAAAGUCUCCCAACUCCCAAGAAGAAUAUUGGCCAAAAUGUUUUUUAUCCCUCCUCUUAAAGUGAACCAUUUUUUUUGUCAGAAAGAGAGUAUCAGGAGCCUGUGUGCCACCUCAGUGGGUUGACCUGGAUUCCAAGGGAAGUUUGCUCAAGUAUGUAAUACAAAAUAUUCAGACAUUGGGCAGAAAUAGAAAGUGAUUUCCAGGGACACCCUGACCCCAGAGCUGUUGAGUAAGCCUGGGCGGAGGUGAAGGCCUCACUUCCUCCAUGGGCUGCUUCUUGGAAGGAAGAGCUGGUUCCUGUGAUGAAACGGAGGAGGAUUGGGUGGCAGGUCCUCCCUGGCAAAGGGUCCUGACUACCUGGGAGUCAUACCUGCUUCCUGAGGGGAAAAAGCUCCUCUCCCUGGAGUUUCUUUUGUACAGGUGCAAGAGCUUCUUGUGCAACACACCAGCUCUCACAUACCCUUUUCUUGUCAGGGGGUCUGUGUGUGCCUGGCAGCUCUGCCUGCUCUGGUCAGGUGCUCCUCACUGUGAAGUCCCCUGGUAUCGCACAUCAAAAAUGCAGACUCUACUCAGUACUCAGACAUGUACUCAACCUGCUGAUGUUAAAAUUACGUGUGAGACCAGAAGUUAAAAAUAAAAACCAGAAGCAGUCAAGCUGAACUGCUCUGAAACGAAACCAUUCCCCCAGAACUUCCCCCAGCUCUUCCCUGCAGCUGACGCUACACCCGGCCCUUCUCUACGCUACAGCCACGUGUGACAAUGGCAGUUUUGGUGUGGAGAGGGAACUUCUUGGGAAUCUCCCUUUGUACUUUAGCUCAGCAUCAUCAAUCAUCACUCCCUGCUGCUCUUACAUAGAUUUUCGUUGUUACUCACAAAUACUCAAAUAUUGAGAUCUCUAUGGUCUACUUUUUUCUGAUACUCUUUGUCUGGACUUGUUAGUAUUUUGAAAGUGCCUAGACUUUCAAAACGUGCCUACGUGAAGGCAACAAGGGAUAUUGACUUUAUUCCCUGUGAAUACAGGAACAAUUGGCAAACAUGAGCAGAGAGCAUAGGCCUUGGACAGAAUUACAGGCAUUUUAAGAAAGGAUAAAUUAAACUUUUGUAUUUAAUUUCACACUGUUUUCAUUAUCUGCUUGCAAUAGUCUAUGCAAUUUUUCUUGUGGGAUGUUACAUACUUCAUACAUUUUGCAAAACUACUGCUUUCUAAAAUUUGUCAUUCCACUAUUUUUUUUUAAAAGUCAUAUAGAAGACGCUUCAUGGAGAUUCCAUGCUGUUACCAACUGCACAUUAAAUCUUCCAUUUAGCCUGUGUACCACACAACUAUUUAUUGAAAUCUGCUGCUUUCUGCAUAACAUUUAGCAUGUAGUUCCACAACUGUUACAAGCUGAUAGAGAAACAUAGAAUCAAACAUUAGUGCCCUGCCCCCGGGGUUAUUUAUUAUACAAAUUUAGUUUAAAGCUCUUUCAAUGAACCCUGCUAAGUCCUGGGAAAUGGGGACAUGCUACCAAAUGGGUACAAGUGUGAGAAGGAUGCUACCAAAAGAGUAUCACUGCCAGUCUCUAUGCUGACUUCUGCCACUAGUCACUUUUUCUCACCACUUCCCAUGUGUGUCAGCACUGGUGUUUGAGCCGUUAUGUCAGACUGGGGAGGGGAUCUAGCUGGAAAAUAAGACACCAAAGGAAUUGAAUAGUUUUCACUAGGAUCCUGUCUGUGAUCUGAGUGACUCUCUGCCUGCCUGAACAUUUGUGUCAGUAUGCUGGAACAAGCUGCAAUGCCUGACCCCUGGGAGAGUAUCAAUAACAAAUUAAUAAAAAUCACUGUGGUUUUGUGUUGAGCAUAGAAAAUGUUAUACCUCCUCUCAAAAUAAAUUUCACCUCUCACACCUCCAGAGCAGUGUACACUUUUGAAAACAGAUUAAAAAAGGAGAAAGUUUUACGACAUUGAUGUGGUCACCAUGUUUUAUUGACAAACAAAGCCAGUAGCUAAAGUCAAUUUGAAUUAAUGAGGAAUUUUGUCUCCCCACUUACUUUCAACUCCAGACAAUUUUUAGGACAAAUUAUUAUUGUUAUUACUAUUAUUAUUAUUAUUAUUGUUGUUGUUGUUGUUAUUAUUGCUAUUAUUAGUCCUGACUCGUCUUUUUGUUCUGCUCUACCCUCUUGCCCUCGGAAAGCCAUUGCAUAUGUUUUAAACUGUUGUAACUCCAUUGAUUUUGGUAGAACUUCACUUGCCUGAUGAAAGAAUGAAGAGAUUCAUGCAGCUGCAUGACCACUGUCAGUGCAUGCUUUGCCAUCUGAUGGCAUUUGCAGCCUGUCAUUCUCACCAAGAGUUUAUCUGGAAGGACAAGGUCACAUGAAAAGCAUCCUUACACUACUGCAAGCCAAGGCUCCUCUGCAGCCUCAGCAAGAGUUUUCAUCACCUUCAUUUUCUUCCCUUCAGUAAUCUGGAAUGCCUUUAGUAAAUCUUAAGUUAUUUACAUGAAAUAUAAAAUAUUUCUUUUUAUCUGUGAAUGCUCUAAAAAUUAGGAGUGGCCCCUGGCAUGUCCAAAUUAUGGGAAAGCUAUGAUAGCUGCUCAGAUUUUUUGUCUUGACCACAAAGUGAAUUAGGAAUGAGAAUCUAGAAUGGUUUUUUUUUGGUGCUGAAAUGGGGCAUAUUUAAUGAGGUGGCUAUUUACAAAUUGAACAGAUAUUCGGUGAUGUCUAAGUGAUCACCACCAUUGGCUCAUGAUGUCCCUUGCUCUGGAGCUCGGUGAUCAUGUUACACCUCAGCCACAAAUGUUCAGGGCAAGGGGCUGCCGGCAUUGCCAAAGGGCUUGGCUGGCACCAAGUGCUGCCACAGGAGCAGAUGAUUCAGAAGCCACAGGGCCAGACUUUCUGAACCACAGCUCCUGACGUCUGUAAUGUCGUCCUCAGUGACACAGCUGCCCUCUUCCUGAUGUAAAAAAGGAGCAUGAUUUCUUCAGCUAUGUCUGAUACCUCCGCUACAGGCAACAUUGUGCAGCACUGUGGUAUAGUGAGCUGUACGGUGUGUCAGCUAUAAUGAGUAACAGGAAUGACCCCGUGCCACAGGUGGUUCCUCUGGGAGAGGAGAGCAUUCCCACUCCUUGGGCUCAAGCUUCCUUGGGCUGAUUAUCAGAGAAGCUUCUGAAAAGUCCACAUGGUAUUUUACAGGCUCAAAUCAAGGGGAAGCAGCUCCUCUCGCUGCUGUGGGACGGUGAGCACAGUGAUCGUGCUCCUCUCUGCGGUGGGGAAGCUCUGGCAAAGGGAUGCUCUCCAAGGUAAGUUUUAGUGUUUGCCUCUAAGGAGACAGAGGAGGGCCUCGGGCACUUCACAUGGCCUGGAAUUGUUCCUGACUCUAGAAGCAUCCCUGUUUGCAUUAUUGAUUUCCCCAGCUCCUUUCCCAGGGUUAUCUCAGGUGUGGAAGAACGGCAAACAGGUACUUAGGCCCAUGCUUCCGAGCCAGCCUGUGACACUGCUGGUGGCUGUGGGGCUGCACAGCAGUGGGACAGAUGGGGAUGGCUGCUGGGCCUUUGUCCUUCAACAGAGCUUUUUUAAGCAAUGCUGUCUGGAGCCUUUAAACUCAGCACACAAGGAGCUGGCAGAUGUAAUUGCCUUCCUCUCAGGCAGAAUUUUAUGCAACAUGGCAGGAAUAUGUUAAAUGUUUCCUGAAAAUAAAUGAGAACUUCACAAGACUAAUACAGACUGCAAUAGUGCACCAGGAGAAAAAACCAUGCAAUAUCCUGGCAUGUAACAACAUGUUUAGGCAUAGUAAAUAAUCUGUUUUACAUAAAUAAUGUAGUUCAUUCCCAUUACAAAUAACCAUUCACAUAUGCAUGGUUUGCGUCAUUUCUUUCUGCUGAUGUCCAACUUUCCGGUCUUUUGCAUUCUAUUUAUUACUGUCAGUUUAGUACUGAUAGAUCUAAUUUUUGACAAUUCAUGCAGUAUACAAUUUUUUUUCCCAAAGCAAAUAGCAGUACCCACAAAAUUUAGUUUUUAAGCUAAGUGUUGUUACUACUGAGCUGCAACAGAAGUUGAGGUUAUUGUUGUUAGCAGUUUUUUCUCAUGUGAUGUUUAAGUGUUUUUUAAUAAAGGUUUUGUAAAGGACUAAACAGAUGAAAGAGUUGGAUCUAGUUUAAAUUGCUAGGAUGUAAUUUCAGAAUUAGGAUGCUUGUAGUAUGUUUUGAGCAGAGGAUCAGGGAUUUCAUUCACAACUCUAUUUGAACUUGGAAAGUAAACCUGUUUAAAUGUGGAAUAUCACAUUACAUCUUGUUUAAAAAUCUAUUUCUACAUGGAGAUUCUUUAAAUACUACAGGAUAAAGUUUUGCCCCUUCAAGGAGUGUUUAAUAAAACUAGGGGAUGCCGACAAAAUGCACCUUGUUGACAUUUCCCAUAUUGCAAAACUUUAGUUAUGGGUAUUGUAAAAGCAGUGCUGGUAAUUAUGUUGCUGGGAAUUGAAAAGGAUAACACAACAGGAAUAAUCAGACAUGUCUCAGCAAAGAAAGGGAUUAGAGGGAAAUUGAAAUCUCUCCUAUUGGUGGUUAACUCCUCAUUCAUGAUUUCAUGUCUUCUCAUCAUUGUUUUUCCAGCUAGUAACUCCAGAAAUGAAACUGCGGGGUUAUCACAGCAUUUUGGGUCUCCAUAACCUAACAGAUAAGCUCUUACAAUAGAAAUAAAGUUGAAGAAAUUCCUGCCUUCACAGCUA